AUACGUAGGGGGCGAGCGUUGUCCGGAAUGACUGGGCGUAAAGGGCGUGUAGGCGGCCGAUUAAGUCUGGAGUGAAAGUCCUGCAUUCAAUGUGGGAAUUGCUUUGGAGACUGGUUGGCUUGAGUGCGGAAGAGGCAAGUGGAAUUCCCAGUGUAGCGGUGAAAUGCGUAGAGAUUGGGAGGAACACCAGUGGCGAAGGCGACUUCCUGGGCCGCAGCUGACGCUGAGGCUCGAAAGCAUGGGGAGCGAACAGGCUUAGAUACACUGGUAGUCCCCGCUGUAAACAAUGAAUGCUAGGUGGACGAGGUUUCAACCCCUUUUGUGCCGGAGUCAACACAAUAAGCAUUCCGCCUGGGGAGUACGGCCGCAGGGUUGAAACUCAAAUGAAUUGACGGGG
rnacentral:rRNA from 1 species